rnacentral:rRNA from 1 species
CCUACGGGAGGCAGCAGUGGGGAAUAUUGCACAAUGGAGGAAACCCUGAUGCAGCGACGCCGCGUGAAGGAUGAAGUAUUUCGGUAUGUAAACUUCUAUCAGCAGAGAAGAAAAUGACGGUACCUGACUAAGAAGCCCCGGCUAACUACGUGCCAGCAGCCGCGGUAAUACGUAGGGGGCAAGCGUUAUCCGGAUUUACUGGGUGUAAAGGGAGCGUAGACGGUAUGGCAAGUCUGAUGUGAAAACCCGGGGCUCAACCCCGGGACUGCAUUGGAAACUGCCGAACUAGAGUGUAGGAGAGGUAAGUGGAAUGCAUAGUGUAGCGGUGAAAUGCGUAGAGAUUAGGAGGAACACCAGUGGCGAAGGCGGCUUGCUGGACGAUGACUGACGUUGAGGCUCGAAAGCGUGGGGAGCAAACAGGAUUAGAUACCCUUGUAGUC